UAUGCAAGUGAUGAUAAAAUAGACAGGGACAUCAGUUACUCUUUUGGAGAAUGAUGACUUAGUCGAAAUGGGAAUCUCUCUGAUGCAUU